UGUAUUUCAUAAACGUUUUGUGUUUUGUUUGUUUCAGGGGAUUCGUUCUCUACGGUGGAAUAUUCACAGACACUCAGGAUCCUAAGUGAAUAUUACCAAAGAGUAGAGAGAAGCCCAGGGGGCUUGUGAGAGGGAGACUCCUUGGACUGGAGGGAAGGAGAGGCAAAGGGUCUUCAAAGUGUUGCAGGGUCUGUAGAUUCAGUCUGUAGAUUCCUCGAGGAGAAGGAGGAAGAAAAUUCUGACUUGUGAGGUGAUGUUCAAGCCUGAAGUCCAGUAAACACCUUGAUAGAGGAAACGGCCGGGAGCGAAGCAGCUUUCUGACAGGCAUUACGGUCCCAGCGUGGAAAGUGUCCGGGUACCUGACACGCAGACAGGCCCUCUUCUGCUGGGCCAUCCAGAUCCUUAGUGACCCUCCAUGUGGCAAAUGGGACAGGAGAUUUCUUUCCCUGGGAAGAGUCCGUGGAUUCUCCUGGCUGGGGUUUUAGGAAAGGAAGUCGCAUGCCUGUGCCCACCAUCGCCUGACAAGUAAGCCUUUUCAUCUGGGCAGCUCCGUGCUCUCACUCACCCC
rnacentral:lncRNA from 1 species